GUGUCCGUUCAGGAGAGUUUGGAGAGGAAGUUUGGAAAGCAGGGAGGGCCGAUCCCUGUUGUUCCCACCGCUGACUUCCAGGCCAGAGUCGCUGUGCUUCUGAGAAGGACAUUGUUCACUCUGGGCUGGCCUACACCAUGGAGAGAUCUGCCAGCGUAAGAGUGUGAGCGUGCUUACACGUGUGUGUCAGCGUGCGUGUGUCCGUACGUGUGUCUGCGUGCGUUUGUGAGAUUACCUGUUUUGAACAAUGGAUGCCAACAAUGGACAGAGAGCAAGAGGAGUAGGAGGGAGAGGAAGAGGAAGAAGAGGACGAGGGCAAAGAAGAGAAGGAAGGAGAGCCAUCUCUGAUGAGAUUAGGGCAACACUUGUUGAUCAUGUGAUCAACCACGGUUUGACCAUGAGAGAGGCUGGACUGAGAGUCCAGCCCAACUUGAGUCGAUUUACAGUGGCGUCCAUAAAUCGAACCUUCAGAAAUGAGAACAGAGUGGAAAGGCAAAGACAUCAUGGAGGACGAGGACGUUUGUUUACAGAUGUACAAGAGACUGCAAUUAUAAAUAUGGUUUUGGCCAACAAUGCAAUUAGGAUUCGAGAGAUAAGAGAGCAUAUCUUGAAUAAUGACACCAUAUUUAACAACAUCAAUGCUGUAAGCCUGUCGACCAUACAACGCAUCCUCCAACGGCACCGAGUGACGAUGAAACAACUUUACAAGGUGCCAUUUGAGAGAAACUCUGACAGUCAAGAAUAUGCGACAUGACUUUGUAGAGGUAUGUAUGCAACACUACUUCCAGUACUUCAGACAUACCAUAUUUACUCAUCUGUAUAUCCUUUUGUCUGUUACAGAGAGUAUUGGAGCUGGAUGCCCAUGUAAUUCGCCAUGAAUUUAUUUAUGUGGAUGAGGUUGGCUUCAACCUCACCAAAACCAGGCGCCGCGGAAGAAAUGUAAUAGGACAGAGGGCAAUUACCACUGUCCCUGGACAGCAUGGGGGUAAUAUAACUAUGUGUGCUGCCAUCACUCAAAACGGGGUCCUCCAUCACAAUGCCACACUGGGUCCGUACUACACCGGCCAUAUGCUCACUUUUCUGGAUGCAAUUUACACAAUGCUUGUCCCUGAUCCAGAUCAGGAGCCUGCUAGAUUUGUGGUUUUAUGGGACAAUGUUAGUUUUCACCGGGCUGUUCUGGUCCAAAACUGGUUUGCCACCCAUCCACAAUUUGUAGUUUUGUACCUACCCCCAUAUUCACCUUUUCUAAAUCCCAAACAUUCUAAAUCGAUGUUUGACAAGAGAAAACGUAUCUUGUGAUGUGGACGAAGUAUUGUGGCCAGACCCAGGCCGGAGAAGAGAUGAAGCGUAGCUUGGCACUGGUGACCCCCCCCCCCCCCUACCAAUUCCUGGACUGCACCCCCGGGACCCCACACACACAAUUGUGUUCUUUACUGUAUUCUAAAGAUAAUACUUUUGGUUUACAUAUGUUUAUGGUUUUGUUGUAUGCUACUGUAUACAACAGUAAUGUUUGGCCUAAUAAUCUUUUUUGUUUCUACAUUGCAUUGGUGUUUACAGUGUACUUGUUACCCCUCUCAGCAGAUUACUUUCACUGUAGAACAUUGUAUUGAAAUGUAGAUAUAAGCCUCUGAAAGACCAAAGAGCUUAAGAUUUAGAACAACAGUGUUUACAUGGUAUAUCCAAAAAUGUACUAUUAUGAAAGCAGUGUUUGCCAUUUGAUGCAAAUGUUUAAUUCUGACAUGUGUUUAUGGCAUUUUGAAUGCAGUGUUGCAUUUUGAAGGAGAUGUGAGGCAUUUUGCAUUUUGUGUGUGCAGUGUUGGGAAUUGUGGGUAGAGUUUUGAAAAAAGGAGACAGUUUUGAAAACGCGUGUAAGCAGUUGGAAAAAAAACUGUAAGACACUUCAUGUUGGUGUUUCCUUCAUUUUGGCAGUUACCUGUAUGUCUGGAUCACAUGUUGGUCCUAUGAUGGAAAUAGUUCUUCUGCAGGGUAGCACUGACCUGACAGAGAAAGAGUCAUAUGUCUAGAGAGACAAUACCCCUCUCUCUCCUUUAGACAUCAUUCACUCUCACCCUAUAAACACAUCAUUGGGUAAGCCUCUGUAGGGGGUCUGUGUUUGUUUACUGUGUACUGACUCUGUUUGAGUUGGACUACUUCCAGUUGCCAUAGCUACUUAGUUGUAUCAGGCUCCUACUGCCAAACACCAGGGUUGUUUAACCCACCGGUGAGAGACAGUGAUGAUAAAGGGUUGGGUAGGGAUUAUUCAUCAUCAGUGAUGAGUGUUUCAUCCAACAGUCCCAGUUGUUUUUCCAGAGUGUUGUAUCUGCUCUGUGGGUGUUUCUGGGGAUUGAAAUUCAUCUCAUUGGUCGGUCUCUCUCAGGCCAUAACCAGCCGGAGCUCCGGGAGGGGAAACAAUGGUCCUACCCAGCAGAGGCUGAGGGGUAAUCUCAGAGCUAACAGCACUACCAGAGUAAAACUGUGUUUACAGCAGUAACAGGCACCUAAUCAUACCUAAAUAAUGUGGGGUGGUACAGAGAAGAACUGCUACCAACAGUCAGCCAAGAUGGCUGUUAGUGCCUGUCCUUCCUGCUGGAUCCAAACCCUGUAGAUGAGUUGCCCAGCUGGCACAAGUGUAUAAGGUUGGCUCUGUAUGCGCGCCCAGAGGUUGGCAUGGUGUGUGAACAUGAAUCUUAAGAGAGGAAGGGCCACCCUCCAUGAUAUAAUCGGCAGGGAGAUAACGUGUGUGUGUGUGUGUGUGUGUGUGUGUGUGUGUGUGUGUGUGUGUGUGUGUGUGUGUGUGUGUGUGUGUGUGUGUGUGUGUGUCUCAUGAUGCCAAACGUCCUGCACGGUGUUGGGGUGUAAGCACAACCCCCACCUGUGGACGUCGGGCCCUCAUACCACCCUCAUGGAGUCUGUUUCUGACCGUUUGAGCAGACACAUGCACAUUUGUGGCCUGCUGGAGGUCAUUUUGUAGGGCUCUGGCAGUGCACCUCCUUGCACAAAGGCGGAGGUAGCGGUCCUGCUGCUGGGUUGUUGCCCUCCUACGGCCUCCUCCACGUCUCCUGAUGUACUGGCCUGUCUCCUGGUAGCGCCUCCAUGCUCUGGACACUACGCUGACAGACACAGCAAACCUUUUUGCCACAGCUCGCAAUGAUGUGCCAUCCUGGAUGAACUGCACUACCUGAGCCACUUGUGUGGGUUGUAGACUCCGUCUCAUGCUACCACUAGAGUGAGAGCACCGCCAGCAUUCAAAAGUGACCAAAACAUCAGCCAGGAAGCAUAGGAACUGAGAAGUGGUCUGUGGUCACCACCUGCAGAAUCACUCCUUUUUUGGGGGUGUCUUGCUAAUUGCCUAUAAUUUCCACCUUUUGUCUAUUCCAUUUGCACAACAGCAUGUGAAAUGUAUUGUCAAUCAGUGUUGCUUCCUAAGUGGACAGUUUGAUUUCACAGAAGUGUGACUGACUUGGAGUUACAUUGUGUUGUUUAAGUGUUCCCUUUAUUUUUUUGAGCAGUGUAUAUAAGGCCACACUUUAACAGCCGAGUUUUAAAGUAACACAGUGGUCUGAAACUCCUGGUUUGCAGGCCAUAUCAGGCAAGUCACAUUAUGUUGGCUUGCAAAAUAAUACAGUGUCUUCGAAAAGUAUUCAGACCCCUUGACUUUUUCCACAUUUUGUUAUGUUACAGCCUUAUUCAUCACAACAGAGAGAAAGGUUAUUGGCACCCCUGAAAUCAGUCACUUGAAAUAAAUUCCUUAGG